UACAGAGGGGGCAAGCGUUGUCCGGAGUUACUGGGCGUAAAGCGCGCGCAGGUGGCUCAUUACGCCCGGCGUGAAAGCCCCCGGCCUAACCGGGGAAGGUCGUCGGGUACGGGUGAGCUUGAGGGUAGCAGGGGCUGGUAGAAUUCCCGGUGUAGUGGUGAAAUGCGUAGAUAUCGGGAGGAACACCAGUGGCGAAGGCGACUUCCUGGCCUGUUCUUGACGCUGAGGCGCGAAAGCUAGGGGAGCAAACGGG
rnacentral:rRNA from 1 species